UACGGGGGGGGCAAGCGUUGUUCGGAAUUACUGGGCGUAAAGGGCUCGUAGGCGGCCAACUAAGUCGGCCGUGAAAUCCCUCAGCUUAACCGAGGAACUGCGUCCGAUACUGGAUGGCUUGAGGUUGGGAGAGGGAUGCGGAAUUCCAGGUGUAGCGGUGAAAUGCGUAGAUAUCUGGAGGAACACCGGUGGCGAAGGCGGCAUCCUGGACCAAUUCUGACGCUGAGUGAGCGAAAGCCAGGGGAGCAAACGGG
rnacentral:rRNA from 1 species